CUACGGAGGGUCCAAGCGUUAUCCGGAAUCAUUGGGUUUAAAGGGUCCGCAGGCGGUCAAUUAAGUCAGAGGUGAAAGCCCAUCGCUCAACGAUGGAACUGCCUUUGAUACUGGUUGACUUGAGUUAUACGGAAGUAGAUAGAAUAAGUAGUGUAGCGGUGAAAUGCAUAGAUAUUACUUAGAAUACCGAUUGCGAAGGCAGUCUACUACGUAUAUACUGACGCUGAGGGACGAAAGCGUGGGGAGCGAACAGGAGUAGAAACCCCUGUAGUCC
rnacentral:rRNA from 1 species